CCUUGUUCAGCUGGGAACGUGAGCUCUGGUAACUCAGAUUCUCCCCUGCUCUGAACAGACAAUAAAAUGUCCAGUAUCAAAUAAAUAAGGGUCAUGUGAUUCCCAAGUAAACUGACCAGAAUGCUCAUCAAAUUCGAAGAAGCGGAGUCAGAUCGUUUCCAAAGGUGAAAGCUGCGCCCCUUCGAAGUCAGUGACCUGUGGAAUGUGGCGAUCUUGUCUUGUAUUUAAUAUUAGCCUUGAGCUAACAUCUGCUGCCAAUCCUCCUCUUUUGCUGAGGAAGACUGGCCCUGAGCUAACAUCCGUGCCCAUCUUCCUCUACUUUAUAUGUGGGACACCUGCCACAUCUGGGCUUGCCAAGCGAUGCCAUGACUGCACCCGGGAUCUGAACCGGCAAACCCCAGGCCGCCGAAGCAGAACGUGAGAACUUAACUGCUGUGCCACCGGGCCGGCCCCUAACUAUAUUUUCCUAAUGGAUCUUUUGCCCAAGCAUGAUUUUGCCAUAUAAUGCAUCUAUCAUUUGGAAAAUGUUGAUUCAUUGAGUGAAUAGUUGACCUCCCACUUAUUGGCUAUACAAUAUAUUAAAAGUCACAUUUGUUAAUAUCAUUGACCUCGUUGGAAAGGUCUUUAAGCAUUGGGAGGCUGUCAGGUUUACAUUAGCACACACAAGUUUUCCAAAAUUCUUUUUUGCUUGAAGGCUCAAAUUUUAUCUUUGGCAGCAAAUAAUGACGGUUGUUUUCCUCUCGGUGACAAGCUCUCUUUAUUUAAACUCAAGAAAAAGUCUAAGUAGCCAGGCCUGAAUAACAAUA
rnacentral:lncRNA from 1 species